rnacentral:rRNA from 1 species
GGCUCAGAACGAACGCUGGUGGCGUGUCUAUACAUGCAAGUCGAGCGAGGCAGCAAUGCCGAGCGGCGAACGGUGAGUAACGCGUAAGCAAUCUGCCCCAUAUCAGGAAAUACCCGUGCCAACGCGCGGUUAAUGUCCAGGAGAGUGGCCCCCUGCAUGGGGGGUUGACUAGAGAUUUAUCGGUAUGGGAUGAGCUUGCGUCCGAUUAGCUAGUGGCGGGGCAACGGCCCACCAAGGCGACGAUCGGUAGCCGGCCUGAGAGGGUGAUCGGCCACAUUGGGACUGAGAUACGGCCCAGACUCCUACGGGAGGCAGCAGUAGGGAAUAUUGCACAAUGGGGGAAACCCUGAUGCAGCAACGCCACGUGUGGGAAGAAGCAUUUCGGUGUGUAAACCACUGUCAUGAGGGAAUAAGGCCCUUAUCCGUAAGGGAUUGAAUGUACCUUGAGAGGAAGCACCGGCAAACUUCGUGCCAGCCGCUGC